CUUUUGAUUGCGUUAACUUAAAAUUUUUACUAUUUUACAGCUUCAAACGAAUGCAGACUUGAGUAUUUGAUAUUAAUUUCAGCUUCGAAUCUCCACGCGAUACCUCAUGAGUGCCGGAUAGAUAUACGGACAAAAACUAAUAAGGGUUCCGUUUUUCCUUUUAGAUACGGAACCCUAAAAAGGGUUGAAAAAUAUAAGUACCUAAAUGAAUUCUAUUAGGUAAAUACCUAUAGUGAGUACGAGUGUACAAAUCUAAGGAUAUACAUAUUUCUAGCUCUCACUAUACAUACCCCACAGCACUUUAACGACCACUCUUCUUGACACGAGUAUAUUCGAUCGAUGCAUAUAAUUAUAGCCGCAAUGGCUAUGAUUACGAUCCAAAAUACACUUAACCACAAUGGACAACAGACCACUUUGGCUUUAUGA